rnacentral:rRNA from 1 species
AACGGCCAUACCAUGCUGAAUAUACCGGUUUUCGUUAGAUCACCGAAGUCAAGCAUCAUUGGGCGCUGUCAGUACUUGGGUAC